rnacentral:misc_RNA from 1 species
UCUCCGUUGGUGAACCAGCGGAAGGAUCAUUGCCACACACUAUACAAGAUCGACCCUUUUUGUGCACUGUUCCACUUUUUUUGAUUGAACGUACCCGUUGUCGUAAAAGUCUUCAGGAAAGUCAGCUAAAACCAAACCAAACACCACAUUUUAAACAUGUAUUAUACACUGGAACACUUAAGAUAUCGGUCUUAAUCGCUUAUAACGCUAGGAAGUUAAUAGUAAAACAACAUUUAACAAUUGAUAUCUAGAUUCUUGCAUCGAUGAAUAACGUAGCAG